GAUGAGCGCUGGCGGCGUGCCUAAUACAUGCAAGUCGAGCGAAUGGAUUAAGAGCUUGCUCUUAUGAAGUUAGCGGCGGACGGGUGAGUAACACGUGGGUAACCUGCCCAUAAGACUGGGAUAACUCCGGGAAACCGGGGCUAAUACCGGAUAACAUUUUGAACCGCAUGGUUCGAAAUUGAAAGGCGGCUUCGGCUGUCACUUAUGGAUGGACCCGCGUCGCAUUAGCUAGUUGGUGAGGUAACGGCUCACCAAGGCAACGAUGCGUAGCCGACCUGAGAGGGUGAUCGGCCACACUGGGACUGAGACACGGCCCAGACUCCUACGGGAGGCGGCAGUAGGGAAUCUUCCGCAAUGGACGAAAGUCUGACGGAGCAACGCCGCGUGAGUGAUGAAGGCUUUCGGGUCGUAAAACUCUGUUGUUAGGGAAGAACAAGUGCUAGUUGAAUAAGCUGGCACCUUGACGGUACCUAACCAGAAAGCCACGGCUAACUACGUGCCAACCGCCGCAGUAA
rnacentral:rRNA from 1 species